rnacentral:rRNA from 1 species
GACGAACCGAGCGAACGUUGUUCGGAAUCACUGGGCUUAAAGGGCGCGUAGGCGGGCUGCCGCGUCCGGGGUGAAAUCCCACGGCUCAACCGUGGAACGGCCCCGGGUACGGGCGGCCUCGAGGGGGUAGGGGCGUGCGGAACUGUGGGUGGAGCGGUGAAAUGCGUUGAGAUCCACAGGAACUCCGGUGGCGAAGGCGGCACGCUGGACCCCUUCUGACGCUGAGGCGCGAAAGCCAGGGGAGCGAACGGG